CAUGUUGGUCAAAUUAGCCUGCUAUUUGAUUAUGCUGCCAUAAUGGAAGUUAGGGCUGGUUUAGUGAGUAUUCAAUUCAAAACGUGUACUCACUAUUGUAUGGUUGUUCAUUUUUCUCUUUCAGAAAAUGAAAGGCUCUGUCUGCUGGUCAUCAGCAAUUUUCGACAGUUUAUAUUAUAUAUAUGGCAAAUAGUCUAUAAUAUAUAUUUGCUAUGGAUGAAAAAUGAACAAAUAAUAUUAUAACCGUC
rnacentral:lncRNA from 1 species